ACUCCUACGGGAGGCAGCAGUGGGGAAUAUUGCACAAUGGGCGCAAGCCUGAUGCAGCCAUGCCGCGUGUGUGAAGAAGGCCUUCGGGUUGUAAAGCACUUUCAGUCGUGAGGAAGGUAGUGUAGUUAAUAGCUGCAUUAUUUGACGUUAGCGACAGAAGAAGCACCGGCUAACUCCGUGCCAGCAGCCGCGGUAAUACGGAGGGUGCGAGCGUUAAUCGGAAUUACUGGGCGUAAAGCGCAUGCAGGUGGUUUGUUAAGUCAGAUGUGAAAGCCCGGGGCUCAACCUCGGAAUAGCAUUUGAAACUGGCAGACUAGAGUACUGUAGAGGGGGUUAGAAUUUCAGGUGUAGCGGCGAAAUGCGUAGAGAUCUGAAGGAAUACCGGUGGCGAAGGCGGCCCCUGGACAGAUACUGACACUCAGAUGCGAAAGCGUGGGAGC
rnacentral:rRNA from 1 species